rnacentral:lncRNA from 1 species
UCUUUUUUUUUUUUUUUUUUUUUUUUUGCUACAAAAUGUACAGUAAAAAACAUUCUUGGGGAAAAGUAUUUGCUUUUCAUUUAUUUACUCUUCUGUAUUCUGCUUUGAAACCUAAGGAAGCAUUUUUUAAAAUAUCUUGAAAAUUUAGAUGUUUGCUUUCUCUUUCCCUCAAAGUAGGAAUCAAGAAAUACCUACGUUUUUGGAAUGCAUGAGAAAAGAUCUUGUAAAAAGGCAUUUCGCCUCAUUUCCUGUGGUUACAUUUAUAAAAAUCUGCAUCACUAACAUAUUUUAAAUCUGCACAAGUAAGAGGAAGCCUUUUUUUAGGCUUAGGACCUGAAUUUGUAGGGUUUCGCUCAGAUUAUUGUUCACCACCACCAUUAAUAUAUUCAAACGAGAUCCAAUCAAAUCUUGUUUGCAACAUCUUUCAAAAUCUCUGUUUUUCUCAUGCUUUCCAAGAGGAAUGACACCUCUAGUGCCAGAAUCUACAUCACCCAACUGUCCAGAUGUCACCUUCAUAUUAACCAGUAAUGACAUUUACAUUUAUGUUGUACUGAAGACUCUUAAAGAUGUUCAUGUAAUUAUUUUCUUUUUCUGGUUACACAGCGGUAAGGUUGGACUUUUUUAUUAUGUUGAUGAUUCUCUUUGAACAUGACAAUGGGUUUUUUUUAAUGCAGCCCUUGAGUUCGUCAUCAGUAUUAGUAGCAUAUGCAGCCAUGAAUUUUCAAAAGCAAUAUCAUAUGCUAUAUACUAUUUUCUUAAUUAAAAAGGAAAACAUCUCUUUCACUUUCUCAUACAAGGUUAGAGGAAGUAAGCCAACAGAUGUUAUUUUAAAAUAAUGAAUAGUUGCCAAAGAACCCAGGUAGUAAACUAACAGCUGCAUUUAUUACUGUUAAUCAUUAUUUUAAUUCAUUUAGCUUUAAUGAAUGAGGCUCAAUCCACAUCAGCAAAUUUGGAAAUACUGAGCAAACUGAAACAAGCCCCACGCAAUCACCUUUGGUACUCACAGCACCUGGGAGGACGAGGACUCAGGCACUCACAGGGCAGGUAGGGAGCCCCACAGCAAGUCAGCA